rnacentral:rRNA from 1 species
UACGAAGGGUGCAACCGUUGCUCGGAAUUACUGGGCGUAAAGGGCUCGUAGGCGGCCAACUAAGUCAGACGUGAAAUCCCUCGGCUUAACCGGGGAACUGCGUCUGAUACUGGAUGGCUUGAGGUUGGGAGAGGGAUGCGGAAUUCCAGGUGUAGCGGUGAAAUGCGUAGAUAUCUGGAGGAACACCGGUGGCGAAGGCGGCAUCCUGGACCAAUUCUGACGCUGAGUGAGCGAAAGCCAGGGGAGCAAACGGG